GUGGGGAAUCUUGCGCAAUGGGCGAAAGCCUGACGCAGCCAUGCCGCGUGGAUGAUGAAGGUCUUAGGAUUGUAAAAUCCUUUCACCGGUGAAGAUAAUGACUGUAGCCGGAGAAGAAGCCCCGGCUAACUUCGUGCCAGCAGCCGCGGUAAUACGAAGGGGGCUAGCGUUGCUCGGAAUUACUGGGCGUAAAGGGAGCGUAGGCGGACAUUUAAGUCAGGGGUGAAAUCCCGAGGCUCAACCUCGGAACUGCCUUUGAUACUGGGUGUCUUGAGUGUGAGAGAGGUGAGUGGAACUCCGAGUGUAGAGGUGAAAUUCGUAGAUAUUCGGAAGAACACCAGUGGCGAAGGCGACUCACUGGCUCAUUACUGACGCUGAGGCUCGAAAGCGUGGGGAGCAAACAGGAUUAGAUACCCGAGUAGUCC
rnacentral:rRNA from 1 species